AGAGACCUGAUUUCUGACCCUCUCGACUCUCAGUGUUUCAUAUUGGUUGAUCCCCACAACCCGGGCUCAUCUUUCAGCCUCUCUUUUUUGGCUUAGGUUUUACCGCCGCUAUCUCCAUCCACCCUCUCUCUGUCCUUAGCUUGCAGUUCAGAUUGCCCCAUAGCCCUGCACUCUGUCCAGGCUCAUACCACUUCCAGACUUCUCUUCCCGCUUGACUUCUGCCUGAUGUGUCCUUCUCAAUCUGAUUGCUUCUCUCUCCUUGACCCCAAGAUCAAGUUUCUUGAACUUCAGGUUUCAAGUCUUGACUUACAUUCUCUGAGACUUGUUUUUACAUUAGGAAUCCCAGGUGUGAGGGGUUUCUAGGACUGGUUCCCAGAUAGUCUCUUUGAUCUUCCUUGUAGGUCGUCAAAGCUUCACCUUUCUCCAAAGGCAGAUGUGAAGAGUUUGAUCUCUUACGUUGUGACCAAGACAAAAGCGAUUAAUGGGAAAUACCAUCGUUUCUUGAAUCGUCAUUUCCCCCGCUUCUAUAUCCUGUACACAACCUUCAUGAAAGGAUUUCAGAUGUUAUGGGCUGAUGCCAAAAAGGCUAGAAGAAUAAAGACAAAUAUGUGGAAGCACAAUAUAAAGUUUCAUCAACUUUCAUACCGGGAGAUGGAGCAUUUGAGACAGUUCCGCCGAGACAUUGCCAAGUGUCUUUUCCUAGGUAUCAUUUCCAUUCCACCCUUUGCCAACUACCUGGUCUUCUUGCUAAUGUACCUAUUUCCAAGGCAACUACUGAUUAAAUAUUUCUGGACCCCAAAACAACAAACUGAUUUCUUAGAUAUCUAUCAUGGUCUCCGGAAGCAGUCCCACUCAGAAAUCCUUAGUAAUUUAGAGAGGGUCAUUCCUCUCAUUUCUGAUCCAGGACUUCGGUGGCAUUUGACAGACCUGUGCACUAAGAUACAGAAUGGUACCCACCCAGCUGUACAUGAAAUCCUGGCUCUCAGAGAGUGUUUCUGUAACCAUCCUCUGGGCAUGAACCAGCUCCAGACUUUGCAGAUGAAAGCCUUGAGCCGGGCCAUGCUUCUCACACCUCACCUGCCUCCUCCCUUUUUGAGGCAUCGUUUGAAGACUCAUACCACUGUUAUUCACCAGCUGGACAGGGCUUUGGCAAAGCUGGGGAUUGGCCAGUUGACUGCUCAGGAAGUAAAAUCGGCUUGUUAUCUUCGUGGCCUGAAUUCUACUCAUAUUGCAGAAGACAGGUGUCGAACUUGGCUGGGAGAAUGGCUACAAAUUUCCUGCAGCUUGAAAGAAGCUGAGCUGUCCCUCUUGCUGCACAACGUGGUCCUGCUUUCCACCAACUACCUUGGGACAAGGCGCUGAGAGAACUGUGGAGUGGAUGGCAAUGUCCUGCAGUCGCGUAGCAUAGCAGUGUGGGACCAAACAGCACUUGUCAGCAGAGUCUGUGCACUCCUCAGAUCCUUCUGACAGAAGUUUUAAAGGAACUGAUUUUAAGUUGAUCUUUGGGUGGAUAUUUUAAGGUGGUAACCAGGAAAAGAGAAAAUGGGAAUACAGUCAGCGUGAAGGUCUAACAAGGCAGAAGCAAAGCCUGCUUCAGUUGAAGAGGUGCGUAAGAGCACCUGAGGCAAGAUAGGCUGAAGAGAACAUUCUACAUUUCUAUCACAAAGUGUUUCUUUUGUUAACCUUAAUUCCUAACUGACCUAAUUAGUUUCAUAGAAAAAGAUGCUUCUCCAGCUUUGUAUAACAAGUAACUAAAUUGUGGCUGGCCAAGAUAAAGAAUAACACACCAUUCUUUUGAAUAUUUCUUUAAUAUUACAUUUAAAUAUUCUCUUUAAAUACAGCAUUAUCACAAUGUAAAGAACCUAAAGAGGGAAAAUUGUUUUCAGAGAACCAGACGAGCUUUGGAUUCACAUUGAAAAUACUACCUGUAUACAGUAUGUGAGAAAGGAAACUGGAAAAUAAGAAUUAUGUUAAUAAGAAUCAUUUUUUUUUUUAAUCAAGGCCAAGACUAAGUGGGAUUGAAGCAAUCUGCUUCUAUGAUCAGAGGCCUAGCUCUCCUAGCAACCAUGAGCUUUAAUUUUGUCCAACUCGGGUAGCACCAGAAGUGAGAUGGACUAGGCUGUAGAAAAGGCCCUUUGCUUGACAACAGUUAAUGCUAAAUGUUAAUAUUUAGCAUUCAGAAGUUUGGGGUCAGCAUGAAUCAGAAUUGUAGAGUUAAUGAAGGGAUGGACUUAGAUUAAGAAACUAGAGUUUUGUAGAAAUAUCAUGUAUCUUACCUUAUGGAUUGGCAAUGAGUUUAAUAAUAACAAAUUUAAAUUCAUUUGAUCCCAAAGGCUAAUGUAUUUCUUAGCAAGCUGUUGGAAUCCACUUCCUAAAUUAAGUGGGAGGCUUCCUACAGAGGGAGUGUAUAGAGCUCUCCCUCUCCUAACAAACUUGAGAAAAUAUUUUUUUCCAUAGAACUAAAAUCCCAAGUAAGCUUCAGUCUUAUGUUCCAUGGUUCCAGUCUAAGGUGGGGGAGUGCAGCUCAGUUUGGAAAAGCAUCUAUUUCAUAUAGAUUGAAGGUACUUAAGACUCAAUUAUUUUGUGAGGCUGGGUGAUGGGGAGAGAUAUGGACCUAUGUAACUUAAGACCUUCCCUCCAAACAUAAAACCAAGCAAAAACAGGAAUGAACAGGAAAGGCGGAAUGGGUUAAAAUAUUUAUCUGUAUUAAAUAAAUACAAGGCCCUCAGGCUUAGAUUUUAUAAGUGAAAUGCUGCUGCCACAUACCUGAAGGCUGCUUUAACGUACCAGGGCCUGGCUAUCCCCCAAGAAAAGGCUUUAUGAGCAAGAUAAGUAAGAAUAAUUAUCUCUUCCACUCUCCCUACCCACCAGAAGUGUUUUUUAACUGGUUAAUAAAUCAUACCAGAUGUGAAGUAUGGUGUUAAAGAUGCUAAAGAAUAGUGUUUUGCUCCCUACCAUUUUCAUUUUAAAACAGAGGCAAAGGUCACUUUGCCUAUAAAAUAAAUCAGUGUUGUUCAUGGAGCAGAUCUUGAUUGAAACAUAAACAUAAAAGGAACAGGAACCAUUGACAGAGGUAAGAACUGAAUUUGAGUCCCAUUUUAUACAUUUCAAAGGUUACAAUCAGAUCUUAAUCCUUUGGAACCUGGAAAUUCUACGUGGCAUCUAAGAAUUGGUAGAUUCCAAUUUUAUAUCUCAUCAAGCAGCAAUAAACAUUUGCAAUUCUUGGGGUUGAACUGGAGUAGUAUAAGAACUGUGUAACCCUGUAUAUCAAAGAAGGACCAUGAGUGUGCAUACACAAAAAAAGAACAAAAACUA